ACGUUGCCUGUGUGACCUGUGUGAGAUGUCUCCUGUAUUACUCUGAGCCAGUCGGGUUGGUAACAGCCAGUUCAUUCAGCCUCUGCCUGCAUUUACAAUGGAAGACAACUGUGUGUGAAUGCUCCUCUCAAAGGACUACAGCUAGCAUGCUCCGUCUCGCAAGACGCCACAUGUAAAUGCU